rnacentral:rRNA from 1 species
UUCUGGCUCAGGACGAACGCUGGCGGCGUGCUUAACACAUGCAAGUCGAGCGAUGAAGCUUCUUCGGAAGUGGAUUAGCGGCGGACGGGUGAGUAACACGUGGGUAACCUGCCUCAUAGAGGGGAAUAGCCUUUCGAAAGGAAGAUUAAUACCGCAUAAGAUUGUAGUACCGCAUGGUACAGCAAUUAAAGGAGUAAUCCGCUAUGAGAUGGACCCGCGUCGCAUUAGCUAGUUGGUGAGGUAACGGCUCACCAAGGCGACGAUGCGUAGCCGACCUGAGAGGGUGAUCGGCCACAUUGGGACUGAGACACGGCCCAGACUCCUACGGGAGGCAGCAGUGGGGAAUAUUGCACAAUGGGGGAAACCCUGGUGCCAGCAACGCCGCGUGAGUGAUGACGGCCUUCGGGUUGUAAAACUCUGUCUUUGGGGACGAUAAUGACGGUACCCAAGGAGGAAGCCACGGCUAACUACGUGCCAGCAGCUGC